GUGAACGCUGGCGGUCGGCCUAACCCCUGCAAGUCGAACGGCAGCACAGUAAGAGUUUGCUCUUACGCGUGGCGAGAGGCGGACGGGAGCGGAAUACUACGCUAUCCACUUUUUUGUGGGGGAUAACGUAGGGAAACUCACGCUAAUACCACAUACGCCUUAUGGGUGAAAGCAGGGGAUCUUUGGACCUUGCGCGAUUGAAAGUGCCGAUGUCGGAUUAGCUUGUUGGCGGGGUAACGGCCCACCAAGGCGACGAUCCGUAGCUGGUCUGAGGGGAUGAUCAGCCACACUGGAAGUGAGACACGGUCCAGACUCCUACGGGAGGCAGCAGUGGGGAAUAUUGGACAAUGGGCGCAAGCCUGAUCCAGCCAUACCGCGUGUGUGAAGAAGGCCUUCGGGUUGUAAAGCCCUUUUGUUGGGAAAGAAAAGCAGCAGGUUAAUACCCCGCUGUUCUGACGGUACCCAAAGAAUAAGCACCGGCUAACUUCGUG
rnacentral:rRNA from 1 species